UACGGAAUGUGCAAACGUUAUUCGGAAUCACUGGGCUUAAAGAGUCCGUAGGCGGCAUGUUAGGUGAGGUGUGAAAUCCCCCGGCUCAACCGAGGAAUUGCGCUCUAAACUGGCGCGCUCGAGGAACCUAGAGGUGAGCAGAACUGAUGGUGGAGCGGUGAAAUGCGUUGAUAUCAUCAGGAAUACCGGAGGCGAAGGCGGCUCACUGGGGGUUAUCUGACGCUGAGGAACGAAAGCCAGGGGAGCAAACGGG
rnacentral:rRNA from 1 species